rnacentral:lncRNA from 1 species
UUCCACCCCCGUGACCCCCUGGCGUCCUCUCCACCACCGCAGCCCAACUGCUACGCCAAGGUGAUCACCAUCGAGGCGCAGAAGAAGAUCGUCAUCUACUCGAAGCAGCCCAUCGGGGUCAACGAGGAGAUCACCUACGACUACAAGUUCCCCAUCGAGGACACCAAAAUCCCCUGCCUGUGCCGCACCGAGAGCUGCCGCGGCACGCUCAACUAGGCCACCGCGUGGUGGGCCCGGUGGUGGGCCUGGUGGUGGGCCUGGUGGUGGGCCUGGUGGUGGGCGAGGAGGCAGCGGCGUUGGGGAGAAGUCAACGUGGUUGGCAAGAGGUCAACGUGGUGGUGUUGGGUCAUCGUGGUUGGUGUUGGGUCAUCGUGGUUGGUGUGACGUCAUCGUGGUUGGUGUGACGUCAUCGUGGUGCUCACCGUGACGACCCCAAAGGCAGCGCUGACACCACCAAGGCGGCCAUGACACCCUGGCAGCCAUGACACCUUGGUGGCAGCCAUGACACCCCAGUGAUGACCACAGCGGCCAUGACACCACAGCGAUGACCCCAGCGGCCAUGACACCACCAAGGUAGCCAUGACACCCUGGCGGCCAUGACACCACAACGAUGACCCUGGCGGCCAUGACACCCCGAUGGCGGCCAUGACACCACAACAAUGACCC